rnacentral:rRNA from 1 species
CAGUCGACGGUAGCAGGAAGGAAGCUUGCUUUCUUUGCUGACGAGUGGCGGACGGGUGAGUAAUNCUUGGGAAUCUGGCUUAUGGAGGGGGAUAACUGCGGGAAACUGCAGCUAAUACCGCGUAAAGUCUUUGGACUAAAGGGGGCGUUUGCUCUUGCCAUAAGAUGAGCCCAAGUGGGAUUAGGUAGUUGGUGGGGUAAUGGCUCACCAAGCCGUCGAUCUCUAGCUGGUCUGAGAGGAUGACCAGCCACACCGGGACUGAGACACGGCCCGGACUCCUACGGGAGGCAGCAGUGGGGAAUAUUGCGCAAUGGGGGAAACCCUGACGCAGCCAUGCCGCGUGAAUGAAGAAGGCCUUCGGGUUGUAAAGUUCUUUCGGUGAUGAGGAAGGCAGUUUGGUUAAUAGCCAAGCUGAUUGACGUUAGUCACAGAAGAAGCACCGGCUAACUCCGUGCCAGCAGCCGCGGUAAUACGGAGGGUGCGAGCGUUAAUCGGAAUAACUGGGCGUAAAGGGCACGCAGGCGGAUUUUUAAGUGAGGUGUGAAAGCCCCGGGCUUAACCUGGGAAUUGCAUUUCAGACUGGGAAUCUAGAGUACUUUAGGGAGGGGUAGAAUUCCACGUGUAGCGGUGAAAUGCGUAGAGAUGUGGAGGAAUACCGAAGGCGAAGGCAGCCCCUUGGGAAUGUACUGACGCUCAUGUGCGAAAGCGUGGGGAGCAAACAGGAUUAGAUACCCUGGUAGUCCACGCUGUAAACGCUGUCGAUUUGGGGGUUGGGGUUUAACUCUGGCGCCCGUAGCUAACGUGAUAAAUCGACCGCCUGGGGAGUACGGCCGCAAGGUUAAAACUCAAAUGAAUUGACGGGGGCCCGCACAAGCGGUGGAGCAUGUGGUUUAAUUCGAUGCAACGCGAAGAACCUUACCUACUCUUGACAUCCAGAGAAUCCUGUAGAGAUACGGGAGUGCCUUCGGGAGCUUUGAGACAGGUGCUGCAUGGCUGUCGUCAGCUCGUGUUGUGAAAUGUUGGGUUAAGUCCCGCAACGAGCGCAACCCUUAUCCUUUGUUGCCAGCGAUUAGGUCGGGAACUCAAAGAGACUGCCGGGAUAACCGAGAGAGGGGGGGGGAGANCAAUU